GGGUCGGGCGGUGGCGCGGUUGGAGGUGUUCGCACCUCACGGACGUCGCCCUGCUGGACGCGGCCCUGCGGGGUUGGGACGUGGCGGGGAAGGACGCGCCUCCUGUCCGCGGAGCCGUUCUAACAAGCAGGCGUUCGGUUCCUUAAGCCCUUUCUGCUUGGAAGCCCCGCCAUCGCCGCCCUGCGCUCGCCCCGUUUUGCCGCGCUGCCGCCUCGGCCGCUGCUGAUCACGGGCGGUCGCUCCGGCCGCGCCGCUCCGUCGUUCCGCCGGGCUGAUGGGGGCAGCAGCAAAAGCGAUGGUUUUUAUUUCUGGAGUGGGUGACUUCCUUCUCACAGUAAAUACAACAAUAAGUAAACACCAGAUAAAAAGCAAAGGAAAGACAAACGGGGCUCCCUUCGUCUGAUGGGGGCAGGAAAUGCCUUCCCCGAGCCCAGCUUCUCCUGCUGGAGUGAAACCACUGGCUGCGUUCUGCCCUCGGUGAUCUGUUGUGUAAGGAUAACGAUGGAUGUGAGGAAACAAAGUGAUGUGAUUUUUCUUCCCUGCUGCCCUCCAGCUCUGACCCACAUUGCACAGAACUCAGUGGUGCAGACACGCAGCCCCU